rnacentral:rRNA from 1 species
GUCUAUAGCCAUGCUAUGCUGAUCAAGCCUGAUCCCAUCUGAUCUCGUGAAGCUAAGCAGGGUCGGGCCUGGUUAGUACUUGGAUGGGAGACCACCUAAGAAGACCAGGAGCCGCAGGUG